rnacentral:rRNA from 1 species
AUGCCUUCGGGCAUAGUGGCGCACGGGUGCGUAACGCGUGGGAAUCUGCCUUUGGGUCUGGGAUAACUCAGGGAAACUUGAGCUAAUACCGGAUGAUGACUUUGGUCCAAAGAUUUAUCGCCCAAAGAUGAGCCCGCGUAGGAUUAGCUAGUUGGUGGGGUAAAGGCCUACCAAGGCGACGAUCCUUAGCUGGUCUGAGAGGAUGAUCAGCCACACUGGGACUGAGACACGGCCCAGACUCCUACGGGAGGCAGCAGUGGGGAAUAUUGGACAAUGGGCGAAAGCCUGAUCCAGCAAUGCCGCGUGAGUGAUGAAGGCCUUCGGGUCGUAAAGCUCUUUUACCCGGGAUGAUAAUGACAGUACCGGGAGAAUAAGCUCCGGCUAACUCCGUGCCAGCAGCCGCGGUAAUACGGAGGGAGCUAGCGUUGUUCGGAAUUACUGGGCGUAAAGCGCACGUAGGCGGCUACUCAAGUCAGAGGUGAAAGCCCGGGGCUCAACCCCGGAACUGCCUUUGAAACUAGGUGGCUAGAAUCUUGGAGAGGCGAGUGGAAUUCCGAGUGUAGAGGUGAAAUUCGUAGAUAUUCGGAAGAACACCAGUGGCGAAGGCGACUCGCUGGACAAGUAUUGACGCUGAGGUGCGAAAGCGUGGG